rnacentral:rRNA from 1 species
GAUGAACGCUGGCGGCGUGCUUAACACAUGCAAGUCGAACGGAAAGGCCGAAGCUUGCUUCAGUACUCGAGUGGCGAACGGGUGAGUAACACGUGGGUGAUCUGCCCUGUACUUCGGGAUAAGCUUGGGAAACUGGGUCUAAUACCGGAUAUGACGAUCUCUUGGAUGGGGUUGUGGAAAGCUUUUGCGGUAUGGGAUGAGCUCGCGGCCUAUCAGCUUGUUGGUGGGGUAAUGGCCUACCAAGGCGUCGACGGGUAGCCGGCCUGAGAGGGUGUACGGCCACAUUGGGACUGAGAUACGGCCCAGACUCCUACGGGAGGCAGCAGUGGGGAAUAUUGCACAAUGGGCGCAAGCCUGAUGCAGCGACGCCGCGUGGGGGAUGACGGCCUUCGGGUUGUAAACUCCUUUCGCAAUCGACGAAGCCUUUUGGUGACGGUAGGUUGAGAAGAAGCACCGGCUAACUACGUG